GAGCCCUAUAGUUUCAAACAGAUUUUAAUUGUGUGUGUGUAUAUAUUGAUACAUUUAACACAUAGUAUGUCUCAUUGUUUUGAGUUGGAAGGUGAGUCAGAAGCCAGCUAGAUGGACAUUGCUAGAAGAGGAAUUCUCCUCUGUUUUGACAAAAGUUUUUUACUGGCUAGGGAUUCCUAGAGGACUGGUCAUACCUCUUUGCACUCUCGCCUUAUACAAAAAGCACAGAAUAAACACUGGCCAGAUGGAAAUGAACUAAGUGAUGCCCUUUAUACUAACGCGCAUAUCCAUUUCACAAUGCCAUGGACCAAUGUUCUCAUCUCAGUUGUGACUUAACUCUCUCUCCCCAACGAGCGAGGGGCUGAAUGAUCACCUUAGUCUUCACCGGAAGAAUUCUCCUGGGAUGACUUCAAGGAGUUGUCUUGUAGGGAGGCAACAUCAGCUCAAGGGAGAAGGCCUCUUGGUUUAAGGAAGGAGACCUCUGUUGAGGCUCACAGAUGUCCGAGUUGCUGAAUAUCCUGGGUGAACAGGAGACCUGACUUCCAUUUGCCUCUGAUGCUCAGGCACAGCCCUCGGACGUGGACAUCAUCAAACGUCCUCUUCGCCUUGGAAGGGGGCAAACAAAAUCCAUAUUUCAACUCCAUUUUCUCACUGGGAGGAGAGAGGGGCAGGUACCAGUAAGAUAAGACAGAAAAUGAAGAAAGGAGAUAAGAGAAAAAAAAAGAUGUCUGACUAAAUGAGGGUGCCAGUGCUCCUUGGAGUCAGAAAACGCUGAUUCCGGCUCUGGGAAGAAAGUGAUCCUGGACCAGCCUCUUGCUCCAGAAGGUGAGAAAGCCUCCUGUUCUUCCGGUCACGACAGAAGGAAUCAGAAGCCGACUAAAAAGUUUUUCCAGGGGCCACAUAGAGACAAUUUUAGCGUCAAACAAAUGAUAACUACAAUUGACGGCAACACGUUGGACCCAUUAGGUCAGACUGAUGCUGGGAAUAAAGGCAGAACAGAAACAUAAAGUUUUUUUUAAAAAAAUUUCACCCUUUUUAAAGAAUAAAUUAUUCUGAAAACUAGUGAAGGUAGCGCAUAAAACAAGCAUUUAUCUCAUUUUAUUUGUGGAAACUGUGCUUUGGGGGAACAAAUGAGUGUUGAAGGAAUGGUCUUUAUAGAUGAAAUCUGGGCAAUACAAGAGGAAAUCGGAACUAUUAGGUUGGUGGAAAAACCGUGAUUACUUUUGCACCAACCUGAUACAAUAUCCCAGUUGGGCAAUCUCGAAUGACGCAAGAUGAGCGUCAUCAUCAUCAUUGCUGCCAACCCAUCUGGUGAGGAGCUGGGAGAGAGCGUGGAAACACUGAGCCGGCGGCUCCAUCGUUACAACGCCGCAGGCAAACAAGGGGAAUUCUGGGAGAGAGCGUGGAAACACUGAGCCGGCGGCUCCAUCGUUACAACGCCGCAGGCAAACAAGGGGAAUUCUGGGAGAGAGCGUGGAAACACUGAGCCGCGGCUCCAUGGUUACAACGCCGCAGGCAAACAAGGGGAAUUCUGGGAGAGAGCGUGGAAACACUGAGCCGGCGGCUCCAUCGUUACAACGCCGCAGGCAAACAAGGGGAAUUCUGGGAGAGAGCGUGGAAACACUGAGCCGGCGGCUCCAUCGUUACAACGCCACAGGCAAACAAGGGGAAUUCUGGGAGAGAGCGUGGAAACACUGAGCCGGCGGCUCCAUGGUUACAACGCCGCAGGCAAACAAGGGGAAUUCUGUGGCUCCAGUGUGACACGGUGAGGGGCGCACAUCGCCGUGAACUCCUUUUUCCCCCACAAAAAUCCGAAUCAAAUUAAGCCUCUACAUUAGCGCUGUUCAACAGAAAUAUCACGUGAGCUAUCUUACAGUAUUUAAGACAGGAAUCUUAAAUUUUCUAGUAACCACGUUAAAAAGGUAAAAAGAAAUUGUUGAAAUUAAUCGUAUGUUUUAUUUAUCCCAAUGUACCAAAAAUAUAAUUUCAUAAUGUUAUCGAUGUAAAAAGUAUUGAUGUGAUAUUUUACAUUUUUUCAUACAUCUUUGAAAUCUUGUGUAAAUUUUGCAUUAGCAGUACAUCUUCCAUUGCUGAUUUCUCAUUGGAAAUAGUCUGUAUUUAGAGUUUGUAAAAUUUCCAGCUGAAAAACUAGAUUUGUGAGCCGCAGUUGCUCCAGUCGUACUUGAAAAUCUUCCAACAACCAAAUAGAGUGUGUUUUAAAAUUUACAUUAAUUUCAAUUAACUAAUAUUAAAAGUUUUACAGAAGCCACAUUUCAAGUGUUGAACAGCCACACGUACUAGUGGCAAGUGUGUUAAACAGCACAUAUGUAAAUCUCGUCACCAGUCCACAGGAACGCACAUGGUACCAAGAAGGGAAAGAAGAUACCACGUAUGUGCAGUCACUCAAUUCAGAGUGUGGAAAAUGCUACAGGGUAAGGAAUCUGGUUAAUUGCAAUUAAAAAAAGAGAGAGAGAUAACCUGUAUAUAAAAUAAAUUUAAGAGACUUGUCCAAGUAAAUGUAAUGUUUGAAAUGUGUUGAAUUCUGAUUUAAACAAGCCAAACGUGUCUAUACAUAUGUGUACACACAUGGGCACAUAUAUACAAACACAUGCAUAUAUAUACAUUUACAAUCAAUCUGAACACUCUUCAAGUACAUACUUUAUAGAAUUAGUUAUUGCUAAUUUUUUUAGCCAUAUCGUGGUUAUAUUUUAAAAGAGAAAGGGACUAUUUUGUAGAAACACAGACUGAAGUAUUUACAAAUGAAAUGAUUUCAAGUCUGAGAUUUCCAUAAUAAUCCCGGGGAGAGGAAGAGGUUACAUGGGAUUUUAGAUGAGACAAGUUGGCCUGGGUUCAUAAUUGUUGAAACUGCAUGAUGGAGGCCGGGCGCACUGGCUCACACCUGUAAUCCCAGCACUUUGGGAGGCUGAGGCAGGC
rnacentral:lncRNA from 10 species